UACGGAGGAGGCAAGCGUUAUCCGGAAUUAUUGGGCGUAAAGCGUCUGUAGGUGGCGAUUCAAGUCUGCGGUCAAAGCCUGGGGCUUAACCCUGGAAAGGCCGUGGAAACUGAGUAGCUAGAGUGCAGUAGGGGUAGAGGGAAUUCCCGGUGUAGCGGUGAAAUGCGUAGAGCUCGGGAAGAACAUCGGUGGCGAAAGCGCUCUGCUGGACUGCAACUGACACUAAGGGACGAAAGCUAGGGGAGCGAAUGGG
rnacentral:rRNA from 1 species